rnacentral:snoRNA from 1 species
GAGGCCAGAGCACCAUAGGCACACAGACAACCUGCUGUGCCUGUGACACUGGGGCAAAGAGCAAGUGGCAUUUCUAUGCUCAGUGUUCAGAAGACAGUCAGUACUAAGAAUGGUUUAUAACCUGACAUUU